GAUGAACGCUAGCGGGAGGCCUAACACAUGCAAGUCGAACGGGAUUGAGAGCUUGCUCUCAUGAGAGUGGCGCACGGGUGAGUAACGCGUAUGCAACCUACCUUUAACUGAGGGAUAGCCCAUAGAAAUGUGGAUUAAUACCUCAUAGUUCUAUUAGAUCGCAUGAUUUGAUAGAUAAAGCUCCGGCGGUUAAAGAUGGGCAUGCGUGACAUUAGUUUGUUGGUGAGGUAACGGCUCACCAAGACUACGAUGUCUAGGGGUUCUGAGAGGAUGAUCCCCCACACUGGUACUGAGACACGGACCAGACUCCUACGGGAGGCAGCAGUGAGGAAUAUUGGUCAAUGGGCGCAAGCCUGAACCAGCCAUCCCGCGUGCAGGAUGAAGGCCCUAUGGGUCGUAAACUGCUUUUAUACACCAAGAAAAACACCCACGUGUGGGUGCCCGACGGUAGUGUAUGAAUAAGCAUCGGCUAACUCUGUGCCAGCAGCCGCGGUAAUACGGAGGAUGCAAGCGUUAUCCGGAUUCAUUGGGUUUAAAGGGUGCGUAGGCGGCUUUUUAAGUCAGUGGUGAAAUCUUGCCGCUUAACGGUAAAAUUGCCAUUGAUACUGACAAGCUUGAGUACAUUUGAGGUAAGCGGAAUGUGUAGUGUAGCGGUGAAAUGCUUAGAUAUUACACAGAACACCGAUUGCGAAGGCAGCUUACUAAACUGUUACUGACGCUGAUGCACGAAAGCGUGGGGAGCGAACAGGAUUAGAUACCCUGGUAGUCCACGCCGUAAACGAUGAUCACUCGCUGUAUGCGAUACACAGUAUGCGGCCAAGCGAAAGCAUUAAGUGAUCCACCUGGGGAGUACGAUCGCAAGGUUG
rnacentral:rRNA from 1 species